rnacentral:rRNA from 1 species
UAGGGAAUCUUCGGCAAUGGGGGCAACCCUGACCGAGCAACGCCGCGUGAGUGAAGAAGGUUUUCGGAUCGUAAAGCUCUGUUGUAAGUCAAGAACGGGUGUGAGAGUGGAAAGUUCACACUGUGACGGUAGCUUACCAGAAAGGGACGGCUAACUACGUGCCAGCAGCCGCGGUAAUACGUAGGUCCCGAGCGUUGUCCGGAUUUAUUGGGCGUAAAGCGAGCGCAGGCGGUUUGAUAAGUCUGAAGUUAAAGGCUGUGGCUCAACCAUAGUUCGCUUUGGAAACUGUCAAACUUGAGUGCAGAAGGGGAAGUGGAAUUCCAUGUGUAGCGGUGAAAUGC